rnacentral:rRNA from 1 species
UUCCAGACUCCUACGGGAGGCAGCAGUGGGGGAUAUUGCACAAUGGGGGAAACCCUGAUGCAGCGACGCCGCGUGGGCGAAGAAGUAUUUCGGUAUGUAAAGCCCUAUCAGCAGGGAAGAAGAAAUGACGGUACCUGAGUAAGAAGCACCGGCUAAAUACGUGCCAGCAGCCGCGGUAAUACGUAUGGUGCAAGCGUUAUCCGGAUUUACUGGGUGUAAAGGGGGCGCAGACGGCAGCGCAAGCCAGGAGUGAAAGCCCGGGGCCCAACCCCGGGACUGCUCUUGGAACUGCGCGGCUGGAGUGCAGGAGGGGCGGGCGGAAUUCCUGGUGUAGCGGUGAAAUGCGUAGAUAUCAGGAGGAACACCGGUGGCGAAGGCGGCCUGCUGGACUGCGACUGACGUUGAGGCCCGAAAGCGUGGGGAGCAAACAGGAUUAGAUACCCGUGUA